rnacentral:misc_RNA from 1 species
ACCCCUCUCCACCCCGCCCUGUUACAGGGUUGCUCGGGCUGGGAUCAUGGACGCUUUGUCGGCUUUGGCCGACUGCGCUGAAAUUGAACAAGCUGAACCCCACCUUGCGGCUUGACCUGUUGUUGUAAACUAAAUUCAAUGGGAACGCGAGCGAGGGACGAGCUUACCAGAACCGCCUUCGGGCACAGUGCAUU